UAAAAACUUAUUUAUUUUAGGUAGUAACAGAUUUCUUGAAACCUAAAGAAUUUGGCGGUAUUUUAAAUAAUUGGAGGAACCUGUUAAUUAAAUGAUAAUCCACAACAUAUCUUACCUAAAUUGAAUUUGUAUACCAUUGUUUUUAGAUUAUAUUUAAAAAUUAUAAUCGUAAUUAAUUAGUUUUUACAAAUCAAAUCAAGGUGCAGUAUAUUUAGGUUUUGAUGGGUUACAAUAUAUUUAUAUAAACGGACAAAUAAUGAAAAUAUUUUUUGAAGGUGGAUUUAAAAGUAAUUUGAAAUUAAAAUGUUCAGAUGAAUAAAAAUUUAAAAUAUGC
rnacentral:rRNA from 1 species